rnacentral:lncRNA from 1 species
UAUAAAAGGUGAAGAAGAUGUAUAUUUAUUGUCGUGUUUACUAGAAAAAAUACAAAGCCUGAGAAUUUACCAACAAUACUGUUUAAGAAAAGAGUAACAAAAAGAGGGGGAGGAUUUAAAGAAAAUCAUUAGGUAAAACUAUAGUGAGAGGUAAUUAAAAUGUCAAACCAUCCUUAAAGCGUAGGUAAAUUACCGUAGUCCAGGAAACACAGGUUUAGGAGUUCAGAUUGACAAUUAACUCAGAGUCGCUAUGCUCAGCUCUGAGAUCUUGGCAAAUUAUACACUCAAUUAACUUCUGCAAAAUAAAGUUACAAUUACAAAAUAAAGUCAUUAUCAUUGAAUUUCAUAUAUUUCUUAUUAAAUGAGGCCAUGUUCAAAGGUGAAAGUGAUUUGUAAACCAUAUGAAUCUAUAGAAACAUAUUGCAUUAUUAAGCAUGGUUAGAAAAAAGAGUGGUGAAACUUUUCUUUGAUAUGCUGUGGACUCUCCAAAUUUUAUAAAUAGAAGCAGGAAGAAGAUAGAAAAUAUAAGGCUUUUUUUGUAUUUUUGUAGAGACGGGGUUUCACCAUGUUGACCAGGCUGGUCUCAAAUUCCUGACCUCAGGUGAUCCUCCCGCCUU